ACCCGACUGCGCUACUGCUAAAUCGUGCUGUUCACGCGUUGUAAACGACACAACAGAUAAGGAUGCUGACAGUCUCCUCAUCUCUCCUGCUACUGAUUUCCAUCGCAAUCAGCUGGCCGCUGUCAGCAGCAAGCCUUCCAAUCGAGCUGCGCGUGCGUAAAUACGACAGAGUGCAAGCUUAUGUUGUUUCCGGACGUCUCAAACGCUCGAUUCGGCAUGCGACGGAGGGAAGCAAGAGAGCACUCAGUGUGAAUGUUCACGGUGCUGCGCGUUCGUGGACCAUCAGACUGCUGUCGAACAGAGGUCUCAUAUCCCCGACUUUUGCAUUGACCUACUUUGAUGAUCAUGGCAACGAAGUAGUGAAACAAGACUCAACGAAUUGCUAUUAUCAUGGCAGAGUUGAAGGUGUGAGAGACAGUCAUGUUAGCAUCAGUACAUGCAGUGGAUUGAGAGGAUUAGUUUACGAUGGCAACGAGACGUUCCACAUUCAUCCUGCAGAAACCAGUACGGACGAGUUUGAUCACAUUCUUUUCAAAACGGAUGAUGUCAGGGAUAUGCCAUCUCUAAGGACAUGUGGAAACAAAAACGACGUCGUUCCUUCUGUCAACGAGUUACUAACGAAUCCUCCUCACGUUCAUCACUCUCUCCACCAUAUGAAACGUCGUGCUACGAAUCAAUAUGUUGUAGAGCUGGUCAUCGUCGCUGACAACACCCUGUAUAAAGACCUGAAUUCGAAUGCGACUGCUGUGAGAGACUACUGCGGGCAAGUGGCCAACACAAUGGACGGCGUAUACAAGAGACUGGGUAUGGGGUUUCGUGUUGCUCUCACUCGUGUGGAGGUUUGGUCGGCUGACGACAGAGUUACGAUUCACGACAGUGCAUUUGACAUGCUCGAGGAGUUUACGUCGUAUGUUGACAAGUUGAGCUACCAUUACGACAACGUCCAGUUGAUAACUGGCAACGACUUUGAUGGCAGCACCGUCGGUAUGGCUCAUGUGAACUCCAUCUGUAAUAAAAAGUACUCGUCGGGUGUUAAUCAGCAUCUGAGUGUUCCUGAAAGCGUGGCUGCUGUCAUGUCUCAUGAAAUGGGACAUAACUUUGGAAUGAAUCACGACGAUGGACGAUCUGGAUGUUCGUGUUCUGAUCCUAAUGGCUGUGUUAUGUCUGCAUCGUCUGGAGGUCCAGCAAGAGACUACGUCUUCUCUGAAUGCAGCAAGAGCGAUUUGCAGGCUAAUCUAAAGGACGGACUCGGUUACUGUCUCUACAACCAACCAACUCAACUCUAUUCAGACCCUGUAUGUGGCAAUGGGUUUAAGGAAGCUGGCGAACAAUGCGACUGUGGGAGGGAAGAUGAAUGUCUCCAGAAUGACCCGUGCUGUCAGCCAGGCAAAUGCAUCUUAAAAGCAACUGCCAAUUGCAGUGAAGGCGAAUGCUGUCAUAACUGCCAGUUUCGUGGUAGAGGAUCGUUAUGUCGAGAUGUUAUCAAUGACUGUGACUUUCCUGAGUAUUGUACGGGUGCAUUGAAAGAUUGUCCACAGAAUAUUUGUAAGCAAGACGGCGUGAGCUGUGAUAGUAAUCAGGGUUAUUGCUAUCAGGCUUUGUGUCGUACACACAGCAGGCAGUGCACCACUCUAUGGGGACCAGAUGGCAGCAAUGCUCCUGAAACGUGUUACCAACGCAUCAACAUCGCUGGAGACCUCUACGGCCAUUGUGGAAAGACUAGCAACAACAAAUUCAAGCCAUGUGAAGCAAGCGACGUGUUUUGUGGGAAGAUUCAGUGCAGUUCGUCAAAGUCGUAUCCUAUUAUAGGAACUACCAAGCAGUCUACGUCGUAUACGUUUGGUAAUGUCACGUGCAGAGGAGCGAGUGUCAAUCUCGGCGAAGACAUUCUUGAUCCUGGCGUUGUUGAGGAUGGCACUAAAUGUGGAGAAAACAAAAUAUGCCUCUCUAAUAAAUGUGAACCAUUGUCCUUUCUGAACACACAACUAUGUCCGGCAAGCAAUGCAACUGUCAUGUGCUCUGGACAUGGGGUGUGCAGCAGUGUGCUCAAAUGCUAUUGUGAUGACAAGUGGGCGCCUCCCUUGUGUGAUCAGCCGGGAAAUGGAGGCAUGGACAACAACUUCCCACCGUCUGAAAGCAGUACACAAGGUGGGGGAGAUCAGUCGGGAAAUGGAGGCAUCGACGACAACAUACCACCAUCUGAAAGCGGUGGGGGAGGCAACGGUGGUGCUAUAGCUGGGGCUGUCAUUGCCGUUGUUGUGGUAGUUGCCGUGGAAUUGUGGUGAAUGUACACAUUGGACCUACCUUAAGAAAUCGUUGCCGUGUCCAACUACAGAUGAGUCUAAGAACGAUUCGUUUAACUAGGGACUGUGUGUACGUGACAACCAAGAAACACCUUCAGGAGUUGAAUGCCACCUACAGUCAACUGUUCACACGUUCCAUACUUACA